UACAGAGGUCUCAAGCGUUGUUCGGAUUCAUUGGGCGUAAAGGGUGCGUAGGUGGCGUCGUAAGUCAGGUGUGAAAUUUCGGAGCUUAACUCCGAAACUGCAUUUGAUACUGCGGUGCUUGAGGACUGGAGAGGAGACUGGAAUUUACGGUGUAGCAGUGAAAUGCGUAGAGAUCGUAAGGAAGACCGGUGGCGAAGGCGGGUCUCUGGACAGUUCCUGACGCUGAGGCACGAAGGCCAGGGGAGCAAACAGG
rnacentral:rRNA from 1 species